rnacentral:rRNA from 1 species
UAAGGAAUAUUGGACAAUGGAGGCAACUCUGAUCCAGCCAUGCCGCGUGAAGGAAUAAGGCCCUAUGGGUUGUAAACUUCUUUUAGACGGGACAAAACCCCUUUACGUGUAAAGGGUUGAUGGUACUGUCAGAAUAAGCAUCGGCUAACUUCGUGCCAGCAGCCGCGGUAAUACGAAGGAUGCAAGCGUUAUCCGGAAUUAUUGGGUUUAAAGGGUGCGUAGGCGGACUAAUAAGUCAGUGGUGAAAGCCUGCAGCUUAACUGCAGAACUGCCAUUGAUACUGUUAGUCUUGAGUACAGUUGAGGUAGGCGGAAUGUGUCAUGUAGCGGUGAAAUGCUUAGAUAUGACACAGAACACCUAUUGCGAAGGCAGCUUGCUAAGCUGUAACUGACGCUGAGGCACGAAAGCGUGGGGAGCAAACA